GGCGCACGGGUGAGUAACGCGUGGGAACCUACCUUCCAGUUCGGGAUAACAGUUGGAAACGACUGCUAAUACCGUAUACGCCCUCCGGGGGAAAGGUCAGCCGCUGAUAGAGGGGCCCGCGUCUGAUUAGCUUGUUGGUAGGGUAAAAGCCUACCAAGGCUACGAUCAGUAGCUGGUCUGAGAGGAUGAUCAGCCACACUGGGACUGAGACACGGCCCAGACUCCUACGGGAGGCAGCAGUCGGGAAUAUUGGACAAUGGAGGAAACUCUGAUCCAGCAAUGCCGCGUGUGUGAUGAAGGCCUUAGGGUUGUAAAGCACUUUCAACGGUGAAGAUGAUGACGGUAGCCGUAGAAGAAGCCCCGGCUAACUUCGUGCCAGCAGCCGCGGUAAUACGAAGGGGGCGAGCGUUGUUCGGAAUUAUUGGGCGUAAAGGGCGCGCAGGCGGUUUGGAUAGUUAGACGUGAAAUCCCUGGGCUUAACCUAGGAACUGCGUUUAAUACUGCCAAACUAGAGAACUAGAGAGGAUAGCGGAACUCCCAGUGUAGAGGUGAAAUUCGUAGAUAUUGGGAAGAACAUCAGUGGCGAAAGCGGCUGUCUGGCUAGUUUCUGACGCUGAGGCGCGAAAGCGUGGGGGGCAAACAGGAUUAGAUACCCUGGUAGUCCACGCCGUAAACGAUGUGUGCUAGAUGUUGGAAGGUUACCUUGCAGUGUCGCAGCUAACGCGUUAAGCACAC
rnacentral:rRNA from 1 species